UGAUAUAUCUGGGUAUACACCUUGGCGGUAUAGGUAGAAGCGGCGGUGGUGGAGGAGAUAGCCAACACUGUUUUUUAUUUUUAUUUUUUUGUGAAUUGGGUAGCCCCCAAAAUAUUGGGACAUAUAAAAAAAGAAAAAAAAGAAUAAGUGCACUUGAGUAUAACAAUGGCUGGGUGAGGCCGGUAUAAAUGUCUAUUCUGCACAAGGUACAGAGAAGUCUGGUGGGAUCCAUGCCUGGUUCAUUUUAAUAAAUGUGAGCUUGUCCAUGUUGGCCGUGUGACGGCGACAACGCAUUCGGGUGUGUGCCCUAUCAACUUUCAAUGCUAUUUUCCGCGCCUACCAUGGUGACCACAGGUAACGGGGAAUCAGGGUUCGAUAGAGAGGGAGCCUGAGAAACGGCUACCACAUGCAAAGAAAGCAGCAGGCGCGCAAAUUACCCACUCCCGACUCUGGGAGGUAAUGACGACUAAUAACAAUACCCUACACUUUCGAGGCCCUGUAAUUGUAAUGAGUCCACUUUAAAUUCUUUAACUUGGAUCAAUUGGAGGGCAAGUCUGGUGCAGAGCGACUGACCCGUGCGUGCUGCUGCUGAAACUCCCCUAUCG